ensembl:lncRNA
GGGAGGGGAGAGCUUCAUUACGCACAAUCUAGUAGUCGCUCAGUGUCUCGCUGACAUGUGCUAAUUGUCCUUGUGUUACGACAGAACGACUUGGUCUUUUUUUUUAGGUGGAGGGGGAGUUCACAGAGCUUUACCCAUCGCACCACACAUCGCUGCUGUCCAAACUUCUGCGCUUAUCCAGCGCGAUCAUCGGAGGUUUUCAGCGCCAUCACCUGCGGAGAGCUUGGUCCACGGCGCAUCGAGAUGAGGCAUCAUGUUGUUGAAUGUGAAAUACCAGGGUACCAAGAAGUACAUCAGAUUGCAGUCAGGCUUCACCUAUUUGGAAUUCAUCAAUGAAGUCAAAAGCAAGCUUGGUCUUCCUGAUGCGGCAGUGGAUGAAGACAUCCUUCUUGAACUGAUAAGAGUCCAAUCCUGACUUAUGCCUGACAGUAUGUGUCAGCUUUCCAGUUGAAGAUUGUAGAAAAGGCCUCGCUAAGGAAACCUGGAAGUGAGGAUGCCCUGGAAGAGUACAAGUCAGAAAAUACGUUGAAGCACAGCACCCGGAGACACCUUGUUAACAUUCUGGCUAGCCAUAUGACUGAAAUGCAUGGGAGCACUUCUAUGAUGGGGGGAAAAACACAGGAUAUUUAUCAUGGCGCCUGAGGACCAUGUCCAGGAAGAACCGGGCGACGAGCAGUCCACAGGCAGCCACAGUGCCUCAACUACAAGGACCAAAGCGCCAAAGACCAGCCGCCACAGAGCCUCAGCAGCUUGAUGGAGAUGCUUGCAGGGAGGCAAUUUAUUUUGUUGUUCACUCUCCUGAUGAAGCAAGGGUGUUUGAGAAGAUGAAGUUGGCCUUACAUCGCCAAGACCUAGUGCAUGACGCAGAGAUCUGCCGACGUCUUCAAAACAUUUCCCAGUUUUCUAGAUGUCAAAGGACUGCAUCCAAGAUGUUUGAAAAAUGGGACACGGCAUUAAAGAACAAGGUUAUCAAAGAGGCCAAACAACUGACUCAGUCAAAAGAGCUGUGCCGACUUCUGAAUGCUGCUGAGAAACCUACGGAGAAUGAUGACACUAUUAAGCUGGGACAGUGACAUGGCUUCUCUGCUGCUGCUCCUUCAUCUCUUGCCACCCACAGCUGGACGGAAGAAGAGCAAAAUCAGUGCCAGUGAUGCAGUGGAAAAAAUGGUUCAUUUUCACAAGUCGUGCUGCAGUAUUGAUGAACACCUGCGUGGGAGAAAGGGUCAACAACCGUACAUCCUUGCUGCUGGUCGCACCCAGAACAAGAUUGACACCUUCUAUAUCGUCGUUGACAAACAGUUCAUCCCCUGCCAUGCCACCAGCUUCUAAGGUGCUUUUGAUGAACUUUUCAAAUCACACUACGUGUUCAACCUGUCAUACGAGGAGUCCCUGGUCCAGCUCUACACAUUUGUGCAGACAACAGUACUCUACAACAUCGAUGUCACAACAACAGACGAGUCUCUUGAAGAAUCCGUGAGUUGCGGGCAAAACUCC